rnacentral:rRNA from 1 species
UACGUAGGGGGCAAGCGUUGUCCGGAUUUAUUGGGCGUAAAGCGCGCGCAGGCGGUUCUUUAAGUCUGGUGUCUAAGUGCGGGGCUCAACCCCGUGAUGCACUGGAAACUGGGGAACUUGAGUGCAGAAGAGGAGAGCGGAAUUCCACGUGUAGCGGUGAAAUGCGUAGAGAUGUGGAGGAACACCAGUGGCGAAGGCGGAUCUCUGGGCCUUACCUGACGCUCAGGUGCGAAAGCUAGGGGAGCGAACAGG